rnacentral:piRNA from 1 species
GACAAAUUGUGCUUGACUCUCCC